GGCUCGGUAGCUCAGCGGUAGAGCGGGGGACUCAUAAGCCCUAGGUCGCAGGUUCAAAUCCUGCCCGAGUCA
rnacentral:tRNA from 1 species